UACGGGGGGAGCAAGCGUUGUUCGGAUUUACUGGGCGUAAAGGGCGCGUAGGCGGUCAGCACAAGUCAGUUGUGAAAUCUCCGGGCUUAACUCGGAAAGGUCAACUGAUACUGUGCGACUAGAGUGCGGAAGGGGCAACUGGAAUUCUCGGUGUAGCGGUGAAAUGCGUAGAUAUCGAGAGGAACACCUGCGGCGAAGGCGGGUUGCUGGGCCGACACUGACGCUGAUGCGCUAAAGCCAGGGGAGCGAACGGG
rnacentral:rRNA from 1 species